CCUACGGGUGGCUGCAGUGGGGAAUAUUGGACAAUGGGGGGAACCCUGAUCCAGCCAUGCCGCGUGUGUGAAGAAGGCCCUCGGGUUGUAAAGCACUUUCAGUGAGGAAGAACGCCUGGUGGUUAAUACCCAUCAGGAAAGACAUCACUCACAGAAGAAGCACCGGCUAACUCCGUGCCAGCAGCCGCGGUAAUACGGAGGGUGUGAGCGUUAAUCGGAAUUACUGGGCGUAAAGCGCGCGUAGGUGGCUUGAUAAGCCGGUUGUGAAAGCCCCGGGCUCAACCUGGGAACGGCAUCCGGAACUGUCAAGCUAGAGUGCAGGAGAGGAAGGUAGAAUUCCCGGUGUAGCGGUGAAAUGCGUAGAGAUCGGGAGGAAUACCAGUGGCGAAGGCGGCCUUCUGGACUGACACUGACACUGAGGUGCGAAAGCGUGGGUAGCAAACAGGAUUAGAUACCCCAGUAGUC
rnacentral:rRNA from 1 species